UUUUUCACGUAUACGAGUAGCCUCCCUUGAAGCUAGGUGCUCGUUGCCAGGCAAUAUUAUAGGUGGCGCCACUGUCAACGUGUGGAUGUGAAAACGAAAGUAGAUUAUUUAUCGUGGAAUAAUUACAAUUGUUUACCCUUCUACGUGGAAUUUAUAUGGUAAUGGUAUGAAUUGAGAUGAUUUAUUUAGUUACCUUCAACUGGUCAGUGGUCAACAAGAGAGUAUUACUGUGUGUCUUGAAACAUUGAAUGCACCAAAACAAACAGUAUAAUAAGAAGGCCAGAAUAUACAGCUUCCCAAAAUGUUGAAAGACUAAGCUGUUUUUUCUAAGGACUUGUAUACUAUUUAGACUGAAAUUAGCCAUGGACAAUGAAUUUGGAGGUGCAUGCUGGAGCAUCAGAAAUUACAGACUUGGAAUAGAUAUUUGCAUAAUAUACAAGUAACAUUUACUGAAAAAUGACUAAUGUUUAUGUUAAUAAAGUGCAAUAUCCAUGCUUGUAACAUUUACAUGGGGGUAAUAGUUACAGUGUUGAAAGAGACUGCCAGUGUUACAUUUCAAUCUAAGUUACAUCAAAAGUAGUAGGAGCUUCAAAAAAGGCCUCUGCUUAAAAUACACUUCAGAUGUAUUUAAAAGCUACUUCCAAUCACAUAGACCUGCUUCGCAUUCAGUCCGGAGACUUCAAUUGUACUUGUCUCAUACUUCCCCUGAAGUCUCCGGGGCCUUAAUUGUGCUCCACUUUUGAGCAUGAGACUUCAAGUAAGUACUAGGGGACUUCAAUGAUACUUUAGAAUCUUUAACAAACAAAAAUUGAGGAUUCAAGUGGAACUUCAAAUAUACUUUCUUAACUUUGAAAAAUACCUGCAUCUAAGGAACUUAAAAUGUACUUCUGUGACUUUCUAUUUUUAAAGUGACUCCCUCAUUUUAUGUGCAGUAGUGGGUUUUUAUACUAUGAAAGUGCUAAACUUUGUAUAUUUGUA